rnacentral:rRNA from 1 species
UACGAAGGGGGCUAGCGUUGCUCGGAAUCACUGGGCGUAAAGGGUGCGUAGGCGGGUCUUUAAGUCAGAGGUGAAAUCCUGGAGCUCAACUCCAGAACUGCCUUCGAUACUGGAAAGCUCGAGUCCGGGAGAGGUGAGUGGAACUGCGAGUGUAGAGGUGAAAUUCGUAGAUAUUCGCAAGAACACCGGUGGCGAAGGCGGGUCUCUGGGCCGAUACUGACGCUGAGGAGCGAAAGCGUGGGGAGCAAACAGG